rnacentral:rRNA from 1 species
GAUGAACGCUGGCGGCGUGCCUAAUACAUGCAAGUAGAACGCUGAAGGAGGAGCUUGCUCUUCUGGAUGAGUUGCGAACGGGUGAGUAACGCGUAGGUAACCUGCCUGGUAGCGGGGGAUAACUAUUGGAAACGAUAGCUAAUACCGCAUGACAACAGUUAUUGCAUGAUAACUGUUUAAAAGGGGCAACUGCUCCACUACCAGAUGGACCUGCGUUGUAUUAGCUAGUUGGUGAGGUAACGGCUCACCAAGGCGACGAUACAUAGCCGACCUGAGAGGGGGGUCGGCCAGACUGGGACUGAGACACGGCCCAGACUCCUACGGGAGGCAGCAGUAGGGAAUCUUCGGCAAUGGACGGAAGUCUGACCGAGCAACGCCGCGUGAGUGAAGAAGGUUUUCGGAUCGUAAAGCUCUGUUGUAAGAGAAGAACGAGUGUGAGAGUGGAAAGUUCACACUGUGACGGUAGCUUACCAGAAAGGGACGGCUAACUACGUG